rnacentral:lncRNA from 1 species
CCCGAAUCCCGGACCUGCGCUGAGGAGGCGGUUCAUCUGUGGCCAGCGGUGCUUCGGGACCCGCGCUGGGGGAACCCUGGCGACGGGGCCUGGCCCUGCUAUAUGCGGGGGCCUCGGCUGGAGUGAGCGGCGUGGACGCCUCUUUCCUCCGGCUCUUCCCUUGUUGCUGCGAGAGCGAGAGGGCCGCGGGCGGCGGAGGCAGCGGGGCCGGGAUGGAGGACGUUAACUCUAACGUGAACGCGGACCAGGAGGCUGGAGUGCAAUGGCGCGAUCUCGGCUCACUGCAACCUCUGUCUCCCAGGUUCAGGAAAAUGGCUUUGUAAAGAAGCUUGAGCCUAAAUCUGGCUGGAUGACUUUUCUAGAAGUUACAGGAAAGAUCUGUGAAAUGCUCUUCUGUCCUGAAGCAAUACUGUUGACCAGAAAGGACACUCCAUAUUGUGAAACCGGCCUAAUUUUUCUGACUCUUACGAAAACGAUUGCCAACACAUACUUCUACUUUUAAAUAAACAACUUUGAUGAUGUAACUUGA